rnacentral:rRNA from 1 species
UACGGAGGGUGCAAACGUUGCUCGGAAUUAUUGGGCGUAAAGCGCACGUAGGCGGUCUGUUAAGUCGGAUGUGAAAGCCCUGGGCUCAACCCAGGAAGUGCAUUCGAAACUGGCGGGCUUGAAUAUGGAAGAGGGUCGCGGAAUUCCCGGUGUAGAGGUGAAAUUCGUAGAUAUCGGGAGGAACACCAGUGGCGAAGGCGGCGACCUGGGCCAAUAUUGACGCUGAGGUGCGAAAGCGUGGGGAGCAAACAGG